ACCCACUGGCAGCCCCCCCAUCAGAUUCCUCCCCCACAGUCCCUCCCACCUGCCCCAGUGGGCCCCACCGGUCAGUACCUCCUCCUCCCUCCCAGCGCCUCCCAUUUGCCACAAACAGCUGUUCGCUUCCUGUUAUGCAGGAGCCUGGGGGAGGGGAUGGAACUGUGUGGGAAGAGGUGGGGCAUGGGUGGGGCCUGGAAGAAGGGGUGGAGUGGGGGCCGGGCCAGGGGUUGGCUUCCCCCCCCCCCUUUGAAAAGUUAGAGCCUGUGAGUUAUAUAAAGAAAGAGCUAGAACAUUGCAUAAAAGGCCACUUGCUAGUAAAGUGCAUCGGAGAAGGGGAGGGCUGUGCAGAAGGAUCUGGGAAGCUAGUAGGAGAAGCUAAAGACAAACUGAUGCAGAGAGAGAGAAAAGAAAGCUGGAGUGGAGCAAAACUGAUUGACCAGGAGCUGAACAACAGCAGUAGUGAUUUGAUUUUUUUUUAAAAGCAAGCAGCAAUGGAUUUAUAGAAUGACCUGUGCUGGAUGAAGAAUGAGGGAAGCUGGCCAGAGUAAAGGUGACAGUCUCAGGCUGAAGCUGAUCUCAUUUAUAUCAUAAAUAAGCUUUGAAGUUCCUGCAUCAUGAUUGGAUGGGUGGCAAAGAAGAGGUUCUUUGCUUCUAUCUUAACAGCCACAAAAUCUCAAUCAGUGGAUUUGCUGUUCACAGUGAACAGCUUGGUUAAUCUAAACUGCCUUGAUUUGGUAAUUGAUAUUCAUCUCUUCUGUUGUGAUGAAUUUUCAGAUUUUUUUGUAUGUAAAACUGAGCAGAUUGUCUCUGUUCCUUGACACAGACAGACAUUUGAGAAGACCUAACAUUGCCCUCUUCAAUCUUCUUGGCUGAGUUUAGGCAGGUAAUACUAUCUGAGGUGUUUUAUCCUAUGUUUUGUCCUUUGGACAAGUGUCUUUCCUGGCUGGUGAAGAAAUGGGGUCCAUUGCUAGUGGAGACCAUGAACCCUCCUAUGGGAGGACUGGAUGUUGGCUUUUCUUCAAGAAAUAAUUACUAGUCUUUGCUCAAUACACCAUUAUUUGAGGAGAUUAGACUGCUGCCAUGCACUCUUGACAAGAUAGACUAUUGCAUUGCAGUCUACAUGGCACUACACCUUAAAUCCGCUCAGAAAGUAAAGUAGAAAUGCAGCUGCCAGCCUAUUAAGCAGCUCCUCUUGGUAGGGGCAUAGGACACCAAUGCUCCAGGACCUACGCUGGCAGCCAGUUGGUUUCCUAGUGUAUUUUAAAUACAGCUUUUCAAUUUUUUUUAUUUUUUUGGGGGGGGAGGAAAUUUAAUGAAUUUUUUUGGCUGUGUAUUGGUAUAUAAAGAGGCCAACAAUUCUCAAAGUCAAAAUUUAGACAAAUUGCACACACAAAAAUCAACAUUUUUUCAUUAAAGUUUUCCCACAUUUUUCAAUCAGUUCUCAUUGUAAGGUGUUGAUCUUGACCUGGAGAAUUGUAACUGGCUUGUAAACUCUCUGUUUGAGAGACCACCUUCUCCUUGUGUCCUGCUGCCAAAACUGAAAUCCGUUAAGGUGCUUGAGCUGGAGUCAGACCCCUGAGCAUGAAAACAGGGGGAGCUGCUGUCAUGGGAUUCUCUCCGCUUUGAAACUUGCCCAACCUUGGUCUGAAAUAGUCUUUUGGAGGGAGGGGAAUGAAAAGGACUAUUAUUGUUUUCAGACGGGGAAGAUUUGUUGGCCUUGAGUUGUACUGUGGCUAGUUAUUUUGGGCUUAUGGAUGGGAAGUACUAGCUGGCUUUAUUUUUAAUUUGCUUGCAUUUUUAAUGUUCACAAGGGUGCCUAGAGCUGAGGAUAGGAGCUUUCUAAAGAUGUUAUAAAUCUAAACAAAUCAAAGAAAAAUAAUGUCCCUUUUGUCUUGGACGCAUGCCUGUCACAGUUGAGCACUAUUUCAUAACAGCAGGCCAGCCUCUUUAUGUGGGCCUUCUAGUAUACAUGGAUUCUAGCUGAAAGAGAAUUAAAGGAAAAGUUAACAGGAAUGUGGGGUGUGUAAAGUGGUGUGGAGUGACUUUUAACAAAGGGUUAUGUAGAAGGCUUUGUGGGAGACCAGCUGAGAGAACCCCAUUGCAUUUAGGGCUCAUAACUUUAUGAAAUGAAUUUGGAUCUGAAUAGAAUCCUCAGACAACAUGGCUUUGAACAAAUAGAGUAAAUAAUAAUAAAAACACUUAAGUGUUAAUAAUCUAACUGGCCACUGGAUGUCACCACUGUUCCACACUAAUGUAUCAGGGCAUUUAUCCUGUAGUACAAAGCUUCACACUUAACUAUCCGACACACACCCACCCUGGCCCAUGAUUUAAGGAUUGAAAUUUACUCUUUUGUGCACUGUAUUGAGCUGCAUGUGAUAUGCCUUUACUAACUGAGAAGAUAGCUAGCUAUGCCUG